rnacentral:lncRNA from 1 species
UAGAACACCUAUUAAACCAUAUUGAGCUUAAACAUAAGAAAGUGAAAUUAAAUUAAAGAUGGAAUUACAACACACUAAACUAGACUAAACUCAGUUAUAACCAAACAAUAGGCUGAGUUAUCAAACCCAUAAAUACAAAAUCUUACAAUUAAACUCAUAGUAACAGGAUGGGGCAAUGCUUGAACUUAAGAUUUCAUCUUCAUUCAUCAUAGAGCCAGACUUCACAUGAGACAGAAUAUAAAGGUGUACCUGGAAUUGAAAAGCAACACAGAAAAUGAGAGAUCAACAAUAAAACAGCAACAUGAACAUCACUCAGCAUAAAAACCAACCCAGAAAUGAUCGAGGAUCACAACUUUAAAUAAGAUUUAGACCCACGAUCGUACCAAACAAAACUCACUGACUUCAAAAUUUUUCCAAUGGAACAAUGUUCUUUUUUCAGAGGUUUUAGUCGUCUAGAUGAUUUCAGGGUUUUUUCAGCUCUCUCAAACCUUAGCAUCUUUUUUUCUUGUAUUUUGCUCUCUUUGAUUUUUUUCCAGAUUUUUCUUUUUUACCAGGUCUCCAAAAAUCUCUCAUGCUUUCUAGAUUUUAUCUUAAGGUCUCUAAGGUCCCCUUUAGAGCAAGAAAUGUGCCUUUUUAGGCAAGCAAAAUAGGGCAGAUAUUUGGUUCUGAUUUUGCAGUUUAGCCCUUUUGCAAUUUUCCUUUUCGCCUAGAUAUCCUCUAGUUGUUGACUUUCUAUCCAAGUUAACUAUUCAAAAUCCUGAAAUUGGCUAGAAAUCCCUCCUAGAACAUUCAUAUUUUAAUUAUUGAGAGAUUCUCUAACCUAGACUACCCAAACUACCCUCGACCCCUAGUUAUUUACCUUGUCAACCAAGACUGGCCCUUAGAUCCCUCUUUAUGUUUUAUUUAUUCAAAUACAACCCUAGAAGUGCUUGGCAAUUUUUAAGAACAAAAAUCUAAUAGCUAAAAGUCGAAACUGAAACAAACAGGAUAAAUUCCUGUAAUGUCACAAUUAAACCACAGUUGAUUUCUGAUAGCAUUCAAAAUUUAUCAUUAUUAAUCCUAAGUUCUUAUCACACAAUUAAACACCAUAAUUGAUUCUUUCAUAUGAGAGAAACAACUGAACCAUGUAAUUGAGCUAAACCUAGUUUCAAUUGUUUGAACACGCGAGGUAAAGGAAGCUCAGUGCUUGCCAUACUCAAAUGAGUGGGCUAUUUGAAGUGACCAAAGUAAAAAAAACUAAACAAAUUAAUUAUCAAAGGUUAAGGAAGAUAGAACAAGGUUCAUACUCACCAGCUAGGCUCGAAAUCGACCUUAAUACUCUAAUUCGACCCAAAGUUACGUCAAACAAUCACUGCAUGCACCGGUUCAGUUUGACUCCUAAGGCUUCGACUUUGGAUCCACAAUUCGUAGAGUCCUGGACAUAUUCAAAGGGAGAUACCAACGAAUUUUGGACGAGGGAGGUAUGGGGUUUGUUUGGUGUGAUUGUGAGGCGAUUUUUAAGUGGCACCGCCGGACACGGCGGAGCCGGCGGUUACUUCUUUGAACAUUCAACUGGUCUGGGAAGGAUUCGAAGGACGAGAGUUAGAUAUUUGGAUAGAGGGUGUUGAGAUGCAUAGACGGUAUUAAUUUUUUACGGUUUGGAACACUGCCGCCGCCGCCGGCGAGGAAAGGUGGCGUUAGGGUUUCUGAUGUACAGGGGUUGGAGAUGGGACCUAGGGGGUAGGGGGCAUUAGGACAUAUAAAAAUUUAAUAAACCCGGCUUCUGAGCCUCUAGAUCUUACAACCUCAACGGUUGAGAUCUAUUCAAUCCAAACGAUGUUGUUUUAUUUGGAGGGGGGGCUGGACCAAGUUUGACGGGUAUUGGGCCAAUUCUGGGUGUUUUUUUUUGGAAGGUUUGAAUUAAAUGCCAUAUUUAUUUUUAUAAAGACUUUUUUUGUUUUUUUCUUUUUUGAUUUUUUCAGAUUUUCUUUUCUUUUCCAAAACUACUAAAAAAAAUUAAUUAUAAAUCCUACAUUUAAAUGCUAAUCAUCCUCUAUAAUUAUUAUCACAACUAACUAAAACUAAAUUUAAAGCAAAAUCACCUAAAAAUCAAAAAUAAAAAUUAAAAGAGCAAAUUACGCUAUAUAUUUUUUAUUUUUCCUUUUUAUAAAAUGGACCAAUUACUAAUUAAUUCUCAAAAUACAAUAUUGAAUCCUAAAUGCACAUGCCUCAUAUUUUUUUAUUUUCCUUUAAUUAAGAUAAAAUAAAUGUGCACAAACAAAUGCAAACCAUUGACAGAAAAUGCCACGAAAAUCAAAAUUUCAAACAAACAAAAGAAAAUAUUUUGUUUUGAAUUUAUAGGAGUAAUUUGCGUAGGGAAAAAAUCACAUGCUCACAUGUGGCAUGUAGUCUUUGGAUGGAUUAAAGAUUUAAACCAAGUAUGAAGGUUGUGAUAAUAUUAUUGAUUUGAGAAUAUAUGCCUGGAGGGCACUUAGUUUAUUGGGUUGUGGAUUGAGAAGGAUUUCUCCGGCUGUGAAGGUUGUUCUGGUGUGUUGUGAGAAAAGGGAAGUUAGUAUGGACCUCUGAAAGGUUAUUGGCCUAGUUUGGUACGAUCAGGAUCGACGUGAGGUCGAUGGAUGGAUUUAAAUGGGAAUAUGGACUCUAUAUCAGGCGAGAUGUGUUCAUUUCAACAAAGACUCCUCAUGGAAGAGUAGUCGGGGUGUUAUUUCGUUGUCAACUAUUUCAUGUUAUAAUAAAUUGCACCGCGUGAGAUGUGAGACGGCUUGGUGAAUUUCUUAUAUGUUGAGGUUCUGCGUACCGAUGAGGUUAUAUGGGCAGGAUGGCUCUCAAGGUUCAUAUCGUAUAUCGCACCUCAAUUGUGCUUGAAUUUUGUAGCUUAUAGCACUAUAUGUUCCCUCAGGGAUGGUAUUAUGCACUCAGCAUGCUUGUGACCGAAAUUUAGUGUUUUAUUGUAAUGAGAAAUUUAGCUCGAUGUGCAUCUCCUUAGGUGAGUGUUAUGUGUGGAUCGAGUGUCACACCACCAUGGGUAUGUUAUUUGAACUGGGUUGCGGGCCGUAACAGUGUGAUGUUGAGUAUACUUUUCUACAUGCUAUUUUUGUAUGCCUUGCUUCCUAUUUUCUGAUGAAAGUACAUAGUACGUGAGUUGAGUAGUUCCUUCUAAAGUUUAUUACCCUUUGUAACGCGUUCGAAUUGGAAGGUUAUUGGCACAUUGCAUCAUAUGAGGUUUUUUUAUCAUGUCCGAGUGGCUUAUUGCCUGAGCAGUUUGUAGUGGGUGAGCCGCAAUCAUUGGACUUAGGAUCAGUGUUAUCUGAUUUUAUGAAGUAUAUUAAGGAGCUAAGACCAUUAUUUGAUUCAAAAUGAGGUAAUGGUUUUUGUCAUGGGAAUAGACCUAGUGGAUUGUCUAUUCAGCAAUUGGUUACGAAUCUCUACACAUAUCAUAUGUCAUGUUGGUAGUGUAAGAGUUAGAGAAAGACCUAUGUAUGUCAUGAGGUGCAAUGGGAGCAUCGAAUUCGUGAAAUUUCGACUAUUAUGCUUAGAGAAUGUUAUUGUGGCCUUGUGAAUAAAGUGGUGCAAGGUGUGACUUCAGCUAAAUUAUGCAGUCAUGUUUUGGUGCUGCGUGUAGUUAUUGAUGUGGUGUUCCUAUAUUGAAAGCAGGCCUGGCGGAGAAUUCCAUAUGUUUCAAUUGGGCUUUAAGCUUAUUUUUUUGAAUAAAAGGAGAUAUCUUCAGAAUUGAUCGAGCUAAUGUGACUAGCUGAGUUGGGGUAGCACAGCUAGGUGCUCGAGGUGUUAAAUAGUGAUUUCGGACAACUCCAGCACAGUUCCUAGUAUGUUCGAGGAGGAACAAAUGUUUAAGUGGGAGAGAAUGUAACGACCGGUCGUUUUGAGCUCUAGCCCACCGUGUAGCAGUUUGAGGCCAUGAGCUGCUUCAUUUCAAGUAUUAUGACUUGUACGCGUUGUCGUAAUUGUAUUUCGGGAAGAUCAAAGUUGAUUUGGAAAGAGAAUUUUCAUUUCGGAAGCUUAAAGUUGAAAGAAUUAUCUAGGAUUGGAUUUUUGAGUAAACGACCUCGAAAUUGAGAUCUGAAGGUUCUAGUAGGUUUGAAUGAGGAUUUUGGACGUGGGCAUAUGCCCGAUGCGGGUGUUGGAUAACCCGAGAGCAUUUUCGGCGCCUAUUGUGAUAGUUAGCAUUUUAGAAGAAAUUUCAUAGGUUUGGAUUGAAGUGCAUUUCAGUGUCACUGAUGUCCGUUUGGCAUUCCGAGUCUGGGAAUAGUUCCCUAUGGUGAUUCUGGAGUUGGGAGCAUGAUUGCAAGGGAAUUCGGAGGUCCGUAGGUCAUUUUUGAGUCAUUUGGGUAAAGAUAGAAAAUUGAAGGUUUUUGAGAAGUUUCUCCAGAAGUGUACUUUUUGAUAUCGGGGUCAGACUUUGAUUUCAAAGUUGGAGUAGGUCUGUAAUGUCGAACAUGAAUUGUGUGCAAAAUUUGAAGUCAAUCAGACAUGAUUUUAUGGGUUUUAGCAUCGAAUGUAGAAGUUUGUAAUUCUAAGUUCUUCAUGUUUGAAAUAGAGCGUUAUUCAUGAUUUUAGCACUGUUUGAUAUGAUUUGAGGCCUCAAGAAAGCCCGUAAUGUAUUUUGGGACUGGUUUGUGUGACUGGACAGGGUACUGGGGGCCUUGGGUGUGUUUCAGGGUGCUUCCGGAUCGAAUUUGGAUAAAAGUUGUGGAUGUUUUGCUGGUAUCUGAUUUCCUUAUGCGGAACGUGAAGGGAAUCCUCGUUCACGAAGAGGAAUACGCGAGGUUGCUGGUUUUAGCCUUUGCGAACGCGAGGUGGAGAUCUCAAAUACGAAGAAGUCGAGCUGGUUAUUACGCGAACGCGAGGAGGAGAUCAUGAACGCGUAGAAGGAAAAGCUAGGCCUGAGUCAUUAGCCUACGCAAACGCAUAGGGUUCAGGGAGCUGGAUUUUUCGAACGUGGGCAUUGUGUCGCGAACGCAAUGAAGAGAUUUUGGGGGCUGAAGCAGGUUGUACUUUGCGAAUGCGAGGGCUUUUUCGCGUUUGCGAAGAAAGGCAGUGCUGGGUAGUGACUUGUUUUAAGACGGGAUUUUGACCAUUUCUUUCAUUUUUCUCUUAGCUUGAGUGAUUCUUGGAGGAUUUCAAGAGGGGGAUUCAUCAUUCAAUGGCAAGGUAAGUUAUCCCCACUUAUUAGGAGUUAAAUAUAUCGAUUAUGUAUGGAUGUUAACAUGGAAAUUAGUGGAAAUUUGGGGUUUUGAGGAAGACCUGAAAAUUUGAUAUUCUUGAAUUUUGACCACAAUUUUGGGUAUGGAAUUAAGAAAAAUAAAUUAUAUAUUUGAGUUCGUGAAUUCAUAGAUAAACAUUAUCUUCGAAAAUUUUCAGAAUUCGGCCCGAGGGCGUUUCUAUCAACUUUUCGAUCGAAGUUAGGAAUUGCUAUAAAUUGGAUUGAAAUGAGUAACUGAACACAUAUUUAUAGAUUUGCAUAAUUAUUGGGUAGAUUUGGGAGGAUUGUACAUCGAUUCGAGUCUUCGGGAGGGCGUGGAAUGCCGGUAUGAAUCUUCAGAGGGAGGUGAGUCUCUUUCUAACCUUGUAAGAGGGAAUUGUCCCCAUAGGUGAAUUAAUUGAAUAUGUACGCCUAACAUUGGUGGUAUAUAUGCACGAGGUGACGAGAUUCCAUGGUAGCUACUAUUAUGCUUAUGUCCGAGUAGUUUAGUACCCAAAAAAGCAUGCUAUACUUGGAUUAUCAGUGAACUUAUUGUCACACCUCCUUUUUUACACUACACCCUGCGAAGGGAUUUAGAUAAGGAAUUUUUUUCCAACUUAAAGUGAAAAGCGAAACAGGAUUAUUUAUUUAUUAAAUUCAGAGUCGCCACUUGGGAUAAUUCAUGGUGUCCCAAGUCACCGGUUUUAAAUCCCGAAUCGAGAAAAAGAUUGACUCAGUUUAUGUCUGCGAACCAGAAAUCUAGGUAAGGAAUUCUAUUAACUCGGGAGAAGGUGUUAGGCAUUCCCGGGCUCCGUGGUUCUAGCACGGUCGCUCAACAAUUUAUACUUGGCUUAAUUGUCAUUUUAAGACCUAUGUGCAAUUAUCUUUUUACUGCUUUUAAAAAAUUUGAAUUAUUCGUAAUUAGUAAUUAAGUUAUACGUACGUAUACUCUUUUCUUUUGGCACAUCAAAAAUCUCGUCACGCGAAUGUGUCCACAAUAAAUAAUGCUUUGUUUAUUUUAUUAAAAAAUAUUUAGUUAAAGUUGCUCGAACGCAUACUCUGAUUUUGUUUUUAGAGAUCGCAAUCAUGUCAACAUGUACACAAUCACUCACGAUGAUAGAAUAAUUAAGAGCACUUAUAGCAUACCAUAAUAUGAUGGCCACCUUUUUUUACAAAUCUCCAGUUUCCCCAAUAACAAUAUAGGCACACAGUACUAUUUUUUCAUGCAAAAGAAAUCAAAUAAAUCUUAAAUCAAGAAACUAUGACCUUUCAAAUGCUAAUGCCGCAUUACUCAAUUCACUGUGUGACCUUCCUAUAACUCAUUUUUUAUUUUUUUUAUUUUUUUUAUUUCUUAUCCAAAUCUUACCUAACCAAAUCCCAGUCAAACUCACCAGUUACUUUUUCAUAUUUCUCCUAACAUCUGAUCCCAAGUAACUGUCUUGACUUUACUUUUCCUUCAUCCUCACGUUCAGUCACAUAUAAAUAGCAUGCACAUAUUGAACUAACAAGUAUAUCUUUAACUCUUAGAGGCAAAUCUUGACGAGAAAAGCACAUUCUCCAAAUAAUAAUGAAAGCGCUAAAACAUAUCCUACAAAUUAGUAUAUACUAUUAUAAGGGAUCAAGCACGGGAGUGGGUCGUAGAGGAUACAUCCCAACCAUAAAUGUAACAGGUCUUUCCCCAAAGAAAAUUGAUGCACAUCUUGAUGGAGAAAUUCAAACUUAGUUAUAUUCAAUUAUCCUAAGAACUCAAUAUGUGUACUGAGCCGAUUUAUAGAACACACAGUAGAUAAAAAUAUUAUUAGAACUUCCACCUUAGUGAUAAACUAAUAGACAUGAUACUUAUUUUCAAGAAAAUUAAAACAUUAAACACGCAAGCUGGUCCAUUUCUUUCAUUCGAACACAUGAAAACUUAGGGGAGAUCACAAACUAUAUGCUCAAACUUUAGAAACCGGACUUAGUUCGACAUGGAACAUGGUGAAAUAUUCGUUUCUUAAACUAUUGAAGACAUUCAAAACACUAUUCCUAUUUUAGGAUUAGGACAGAUUACCCGAUCAUAAUUUAAAGAUCAAACGACAUGUGCUUUAAAAAAAAUCAUACUGAUCAUUAAACAAAAUUAUCUUUUGUGCUACCUCCUGGGAAUAGAUUUACAUUCGACAAAGUGACUUUUAUAAUGCAAAAACUAAAAUGAAUUCGAAUAUGGAACAAUGAUGCAAAUCAAUGCGUGUCACCACAAACUAAUAGGAACAGAUUGAUCGCUAUAUCAAUAAGCCAAAGAUGAACAGAUCUAAUGCAAAAACAUAACUAUAAUCUAAACGGUUCAUUUUUUUGAUUUCUCACAUUCAAACACAUCAAAUAGCAAGAUAGCACAUUGGAUAACAAGAGAAGAUCAAUGAAUAUCUCUUUCAAGCACAAAUCGCAACUAGAAGCUAACUUCAAGACAACCUCUACUAAAAUUUGAUCAAACACAUUACUAUAGAGGUGAAUUCCCUAUGGCUCUUAUCAUAUUAUGAUCAAUGUCCAAGCAGAAGAGAGUGUGAGAGGAUAAACCUGAUUUGUGCAAGGAAAAUCUGAUUAAUUCCGUUUAGAAUGAUACGGGUACAGAUCCUUCGAUUACAGAAAUUAAUCCAAGAAAUUAGCAGCAAAUUCAAUUAAGAAUCACGAACUCGAACGGCGAAUCUCGGGCAGCGACGACUUCAACAACCUCAGCUCGAUCCCGUUUACAGAAAAAAAUCGAAAGAUGAAACUAAAACUCAACUCUUCACUCACUAAAUUUUCCUCUCCAAUUUUAUGAAACUCUAAAACAGAAGGAGCAGCGAUGGAAAGAGAAUUCUUACGUUAGAGGUUUUGGUGAAUGGUGGCGGCUGUUAUGGUUUUGAGAUAGUCGUUUGCCUGCGUAUGGUUGGCGACUGAUUGUGGGGAUGACUGAGGGUGGUUGGUGUUGUGAGAUGGUUGUUUUGGAGAGGGUUCAGCAGCUCAUCUCCAACCUUAGGCGUUAGAACGCGAGAUCAAAGAGGAAGGGCAGGGGUGAUCAAGCGGACUUCCAGCGAUGGGAGGGGUUGGAUCUCUUCAUUCGAAAGAGAGAGAGGGUCAUUCAAUUGCGGCUCCCUCUUUUUUUCAGGCCUCUCGUUUCUCUAUUAGGCGUUAUAUUAAUUGUGUAGGUUUUAGGUGUAUUUUUUGUGUAUUUAUCGAUUAGUCCCUAGGUCUUUUUAUGUUAAGUUGUUAGGAUCUUUUUAUUAAUUUUUGUUCCAAAGAAGAGUUUAGAAAGGUCCCUAGGGCUGGCUUAAUGAGUAUUGGAUAUUAGGCCAAGAAAUUGGACCAAAGACUAAAAUAAUUACAAAAAUCAUAAAGACGGGAUGAACCGAACCAACACUAAUUUCUCUUUUUAAAAAUUAUACAAUUAUAGUAUAAAAAUAUAAAAUUAGUUUUAUGAUUAAACUAACUAUAUCAAGACAUGAAAGUAUUUUGUGUUUUCAAAAUUAUGUACAAAAUAAAGGUAAGGUACUACUUUUGUAUUAUUAUUAUUAUUAUUUUCAAUUUAUGAGAAAUGCAUAAGCUAAAAUAUUUUUCUAAUUUUUCAUUUUUAUGACGAAAAUAAAUGAAAGAAGUAAAAAUAGUUGAAAUAGCUAUAUUAGUCAAAAUUAAAUACUUACACACUAAAAUAUAAGAAAAAUCUUGGGAAAGGUCAAAAUCAACAUUUCUACAGGUGCCCCUCUUUGGCUUGAAAAGCGAAAAAGUUUACAGACAAAGAACGACUUGACAAGUUUUUGACCCGACCCUUAUUUAAAGAGGCCAUACUAAGAAAAAGGGGGAAUGUGACCGAACCCUAGUAUCUGAGCUGUCUAAAUAUCCUUGGCUAUAAAUUAAUCAUGCCACGUGUAGUUUAGAAAUGAGUGAGAUGAUGGAGUAUGCCGAGGUGGAGAGCCAGUCGAGGUGCCAUUCCACCGAGGUUCCGGUCUGCGGUCCUGUUAUUACAUCCAUAUCAAAAGAAUUGAAAAGACUAACUAAGCCUAUCAACUAUGAGUUACAAGAUUCAUAUCUAUAAGUCUUCUGAAGCUUGAUCUCAAGUUUUGAAUGGUCUUUCAUGCAAACUUUAGAUUUGAACAUUGGCAUUUUCUAGUUGCAAGUGCUAGCUCAUUCUUUCCUCAUCUUUUCAGACUAAAAUCUGACACCACACCAUGUUUGUGACUUCAAUCAUGUCUCAAGCAGUCCAUAUCCCAUCACCUUCUACAUUUGGAUCAACUUCUGGCCCUUCUCUUUUCUUUAUUGUGACUAACUUCGGUUGAUCACUUCCUACUGUUGACUACUUUUUUGCCACGAGCUUAUUUUAUUGGUGACUUGAAUUACGUUCUGAAGUGAAUUACCUUAUUCUCCAGGUAGGUGCCUGAUUGCCAAUGCUUGAACUGUCUUCCUUUGAAACUUGGACUGCCUUUGUUGAAAUUUGUGUUAUCUUCCUUUGAAACUUGAAUUACUUUCCUUUUGUUUUCCAAAUAGGUUCCUACUUGCUGAACUCGAUCCGUCUUCCUUUGAAAAUUGUUGCCUUCCCUUUGUUCUCCAGGUGGGCACCUGAUUACCAACAUUUGAAUUGUAUUCCUUUCCUCUGAAACUUGAAUUGUUUUCCCUUAAAACUUGAACCGUAUGCCCUUGUUCUCCAGGAAGGCGCCUGACUGCCAAAACAUGAACUGUAUUCCCUUGUUCUCUAGGUGGGCUCCUAUUGCUGAAACUUGAACUGCAUUCCCUUGUUCUCCAGGUGGGCUCUUAAUUGCUUAAACUCGAAUUGUAUUCAUUUGCUCUCCAGGUGGGCGCUUAAUUGCUGAAACUCGAACUGUAUUCCCUUAAUCUCCAAGUGGGCUCCUGGCUGCUGAAACUUGAAUUGUAUUCACUUGCUCUCUAGGUGGGCGCCUGAUUGCUGAAACUCGAACUAUAUUCCCUUGUUCCCCAGGUGGGAACCUGACUGCUGAAACUUGAAUUGUAUUCCCUUGCUCAGCUGGGCACCUGAUUGGUGAAACUUGAACUGUAUUCCCUUGUUCUCUAGGUGGGCUCCUGAAUGCCAAUGAUUGAGCUAUAUUCCCUUGUUCUCCAGUGGGAUUCUGAUUGCGGAAACUCAACUACAUUCCCUUGUUCUCCAGCUGGGCUCCUGACUGCUGAAACUGUAAUUAAAUUCCCUUGCUCUCUAGGUGGGCGCCUGAUUGCUGAAACUCAAACUGUAUUCCCUUGUUCUCCAGGUUGGCUCCUGACUACUGAAACUUGAAUUGUAUUCCCUUGCUCUCCAGGUAGGCGCCUGAUGGCUGAAACUGGAACUUUAUUCCCUUGUUCUCCAUGUGGGCUCCUGACUGUCAACACUUGAGCUGUAUUCCGUUGUUCUCUAGGUAGGCUCCUGAUUGCCAAAACUUAAGCUAUAUUCCCUUGUUUUCCAAGUGGGCACCUGAUUGCUGAAACUCGAACUGUAUUCCCUUGCUCUCUAGGUGAGCGCCUAACAGCUGACUUGAAAUGUAUUCCCUUAUUCUCCAGGUGGGCUCCUGAUUGCUGACUUGAAACAUAUUCCCUUGUUUUCUAGGUGGGCUCCUGAUUGCUGACUUGAAAUGUAUUCCCUUAUUCUCUAGGCGGCCUGCUGAUUGCUAACUUGAAAUGUAUUCCCUUUUUCUGUAGGUGGGCUCCUGAUUGCUGACUUGAAAUGUAUUCCCGUGUUCUUCAGGCAAGCUCCUUACUACUGACUUGAAAUAUAUUCCCUUGUUUUCCAGUCGGGCUCCUGAUUGCUAACUUGAAAUGUAUUCCCUUUUUCUCUAGGCGGGCUCCUGACUGUUGACUUGAAAUGUAUUCUCUUGUUCUCCGGGUGGGCUCCUGAUUGCUGACUUGAAAUGUAUUCCCUUGUUCUCCAGGCGGGCUCUUGACUGCUGAUUUGAAAUGUAUUCCCUUAUUUUCUAGGUGGGCUCCUAAUUGCUGACUUGAAAUAUAUUCCAUUGUUCUCCAAGUGGGCUCCUGAUUUCAGUGCAAUAGACAAAACAAAGAAACUUUCUGCCCCAGUUUGGUAGCUGGGCACAUUGGUGAGCGUUAAACUGAAUCAUUCUAACAACUAUUAUUAAGAAUUUGAAAGCUAAGUCCUAUUAUCCAGGGAGGACCUGACAACUCUUAAUUAAAUGAAAAUUAUAUAUCAAGCUAUAUCUUCUAAAGGUAUUACUUCUGCUAAGUCCUGUUAUCUAAGAGGGUCUUAAACUACAUACAACUAUUCAAGAAGGUCUUGAAAACUAGAAUGAUACUUUUAUGACUGAAUUAUACUACCCUACAACAGAAUUUACGCUACAUCUUGUGAUCUAAUGGAAAUCCUAAAACAAGGUCCCAUUAUUCAAGGGGGAUGGGGGGUCCAAAAAACUCCUAAUGGAAUCUUGUCUUACACAUGAAAACUUUGAAACCAACUUACAUUCUUCUAUGCUAUUCAUGAUUCGUUUUGAAAUUUAGCUAAGUCAUAUUUCCCAGGAAGGUCCUGAGAGUUUACGGUCAAACCUGUUUGGUGCUUUGUCUUUAUUUACGAAGAGUUCCUCCGAGACAAAUAAACUUUUCUGCCCCUGUUUCAAUAAAAUAAAAAUCAUGUUAGUUUAAAAUGGUGGUUAGCUAAUGGCAUUCUUGCUGAAGGUAUCUCCGCUGCCAUGUUUUGUUUUGUCGUACUUCCCCGAACUGGCCCUGAACCGCUUGACUUUCUAACUGACUUUCAAACCCCAUGACCUUGAUGACCCGUGUAUUCUAUACCCAUACUGCUGUUUUACACCUCUGACCCUUUUAUUUGAAUACUUCCAUCUCCCACGACAUUACCAAAUGAUUAUAUCGAUGAAACUUUUGGUGAUUCCUUGUAUCCCACUUUACAUCAUGCUAUCUUUGGUAUGUUCUGGCCACACUGUGCUUUGCAAUUUUGGAAGGUGGUAGUGAGCUUUGAAAUUCUUUCUUAUUUGCUUUGAACAAAAAUGACAUUGAAACAUCAUAGAGAAACAGACCCCAAAUGAAAUGAAAUGCAAUGACCUUGAGAGUUAAGGAUAAAGAAAAUCCAAAACUGGACGACUUACUAAAAAGAAAAAGGGAAAGAGACUUAUCUGAGUGGAAUAGAUGGUACCAUUGAUCAUGACAUGCAUUUCAGACUAAUCGGCCCAAUUCGUUCACCAAUCAACUUUCAGUUGCCAUUUGUUUCCCUAGAAUUCCAUAACCUGAUUUCUUCACCCAAACUUUAACCUUGUUCAUCCUGCUGUGCCCUGAAAGGUUUUCACCAACAGACUUUUCUCAUUUGCUCAUCUCUAAACUCACUUUUGCCUUAAGGUGCUAGUGCAGGUAGAAGCUAGUAGUGAGCUUUGAAAUCCUUUCUUAUUUGCUAUGAACAAAACUGACAUUGAGACAACUUAGAGAAACAAACCCCAAAAGAAAUGAAAUGCAAUGACCUUGAGAGUUAAGGAUAAAGAAAAUCCAAAAUUAGACGACUUACUAAAAUGAAAAAAAGGAAAGAGACUUACCUGAGUGGAACAGCUGGUACCAUUGAUCAUGACAUGCAUUUCGGAUUAAUCAACUCAAUACGUCCAACCAAUCAACUUUCAAUUGCCAUACUUUGUUGACCCAAAAUUCCCUAACCUGAUUUCUUCACCCCAAACCCUAACCUUGUUCAUCCUGCGACUUCCUGAACGGUUUCACCCACAUACCCCUCCCAUUUUUUCAUAUGUCAACUUACUUUCCCCUUAUGGUGCCCGUGAGAGUUUUCACCGAAAAGACUCUCUCGUUUCUGAUUCCUCUCAACUCACUUUUGCCUAAGGUGCCCGUAAGAGUUUUCACUGAUAAGACUCUCUCAUUUUGAUUUCUCUCAACUCCCAUCACCUUACUGUGCCCGUGAGGGUUUUCACCAAUAAGACUUUCUCAUUUUUCAUUACUUUCCUGCUUGGACCGGAGUGUUACCUCUUCUUUCUCGAUCUGGCAUUUCUUGAAAACUGAUCAGAAGGUCUUUCUUUGGACCGUAAUGUGGGAUUUUGGAUAGGGUUAGAUAGAAAGGGUAUUAAAGGCUCAAAACAAUUCAUAUGGGUCUAAAAUUACAACUUUAGGAAUCAGAUUUCUUACGGUGAUCGCGAUUUCUGCCCCAGUUUCUUUGCUUGGGGACUUUUGAAUUUUUACUUUGAUGGGACCGAACUAUGAGACUGCCUACGUAUCCUUAAAAGGAAUCAAGUCGAAUGUAGUUCAUGACAUAAGAAUUGUUUUGUUUUGUUGUGAUUUUCUCUUUGUUUUCUUCCUCUUUCUCUUCUUUUAUUUUCUUUCUUCCUUUUCUCUUUUUGUUGUUAUGUUGUUUUUUUUCUCUUUUUGUUCUUUUUUUCAUUAUUUUUCCUUUCUCUUUUCAGUUUUUUUUCUUUCUCUUUUUCCUUUGCUUAUCUUUCACGCUUGGGUUUUUUUAUCUUUACUACUGAUCCCGAAAGAGAGGUAUGGAAGAGAAUAUCUUUCAUGCUUGGGUUUCUAAUCUUUACUAUUGAUCCCGAAAGAGGGGUAUAUAAUAAAAUAAAUAAGGCUCGAAGGUGUAACAUAGGACAAAGUGUUUAGAUAGCAGAACAAAAUACCUUUGUCAUUCCAAUCUCCACAUGCCGAGUAAAAAACAAAUACAAUUACUCCAAAGAAAAUCAUACAUAAUAUCUCUUGACCGCAUCGGAAUUGAUGGCUAUUUAAACACACCUGCCUUCUAUGUCUGUCAAAUACAAAGCACCAUUGGACAACCCUCUCGUCACGAUAAACGACCCUUGCCAAUUUGGGAUGACUUGCCUUUAGCCUUAGCCUGAUGCGGAAGAAUACUUGCUGACCCACUUCAAACUUUCAUAGACGUACCUUCUUAUUAUAUGCUCUUUCCAUUCUUUGUUGGCCAUGACACAUUGUUUCCAAUCUUUUCUCAUUUAUCAAACUCAAUUGCUCCAAUCGGGUUUUGACCCGCUCAUCAUCAUUAAUCUGUGCUUCAUCAUCACACUCAAUUUCUUUUAUUAUUAUUUCAGAAUUAGAUUGGGUUUUAAGACUGGGCUGAAGAUUCCUCAUGCAUGUCAUGUCAUUGAAACCAGCAUAAAAAGAACUGUACAAGAAAGAAAAGAAAAACUAAAAUGAAACUAUUAGGUAUGAAGAAGAAAGGGAAUAUCAUUUCAAUAUGAUUGAAAGAUAAAAAGGUUUAACACAUCCAAAUGAACGGAACAUAGAAUCUGAAUCAAAACCCUGGAAUAAUCCGGACAACUAAAAGAAAAUCAAAGCCCACUACCAAAACUCCCUCCGAGUAGGAAGAGGAGUAGCUUCCCAAUUGUUGAUAUUCACAUUUGGCCUGACAAAAUACACCUCUUCAUCACCAGAAACUUCCCCAAUUUCUACCUAGUUCACUUUAUCAAGUAGACUUUGUACCCUCUCAAAUCAACUCCUCAUAAAAAACAACCCAUGUUUUGGAACUGCUGAAACCGGAUGCUUCACUGUCCCUAACUUGACAAAAGUUCUAAAGAGGUGUGGGAUAGGCCUAGAGAGCAGCCACGCUUUCUUUUCCAACUUUGUAGACUUUUUCACAUCAUCCCUUGUGGGCUUAAACCCUAGACCAAAUGUACCUAGAUUUUUAUGUAAAGAUACUGGUUGCACGAUAAAUUGCAAAGAUGCGCCCAGACCUUUACCCGGCACAAAACCAUACUUCAACAUCUCAUUAGCUACCAUACAGAUCGAAGGUGAUAGCCUCGGCCUUGGAAUGCAUUUUUAUUCAGGAAUCCUUUCGACAGACAUCGUUUCGGACGUUUCAUAAGCUAAAGGUCCUUUAUCAUCUCCGGCCUUAAUAAAUGGAACAGAUGAAUCUUCAUAAAAGGAUAAAUCCUCUUCCCCACGCACCACAAUCUCUUGUUUGUCCCACUCAAAUUUUAAUAUUUGAUGUAAAGACGAUGGCACUGCCUUAGCCGCAUGUAUCCAAGGCCUGCCUAAUAAAAAAUUAUACGAGGAAACCACGUCUAACACCUGAAAUUCCACACUAAAACCAACUAGCCCUAUCACCAAUUCAAGGGUUAUACAUCCAGCAGAACAUUUUCCUUUCUCAUCAGAACCCUGAACACCUACAUCGUUCAUGUGGAUUCCUUCGGUACCGAUCUCCAAAUUUUGCAAAUUGGACAAAAGGCAAAUAUUUGCACUGGAUCCAUUAUCAACAAACACCCUGAUGAAAAAAUAAUAUUUGCACUUCACCGUGAUACAAAGAGCUCGAUUGUGUUCCAUGCACUCCAUAAGAAGCUCAUCAUCCGCAAAAGAGGUCCUAUUUGCUUUGAAGAUCCUGCUAGCAAUCGAUUCUAAUUGAUUUACUGUGAUGUUAUUCGAUGCCCCCCUUUCUCUAAGGCGAAAGCGGGUUUGUGAUAUUUGGGCGAACAACUCUAUUCCUCUUGGGAAUUUGGGUUUUGGAAUUUUGAAGAUUCGCCACCUAAUUAUUAAAGUGCAUUAGGACACUAAGAAUGGUUUUGAGUUGUGGUUCCCGGUCAUGUUAUAUUGCGCCUUUACAAAUAAACACUUACGGCUCAAAUAAAGAAGGUUCUAACAUAACUAGUAAGUAAAUUGAAAGUAGACAAUAAGGAGGGCAGAAAUUUGAGGAAGUAAAUUUAAAAAAAAUCUGAAAAUAAACAUAGACAAGAAAAAGGGAAGGGGGUUCCUAGGUUUAUAAUAUACAUGGAUCAUUCACACAGCACCGAUAUCCAAUAAAUUGCAUGGUGUUAUCGCGUGAUCAUCAUAUCCAUGUCUACCCCUCCCACCCCAUUAAGGUAUCAAAGCGCGGAAUGAUAUCGUUACAUAUCGCAUGCUAUUACCCGUCCCGACCCUAUCAAUCACAGAGGCAUAUGGGAUUACUAAUUCUAAAAGGGAGGGAGUGGAGGCUUUUGAGAGUUUCCAAAGGACAAACUUCUAAGGCGGCAUUCAAAACAUAUACAGCAAGUAUUGGGAAAGCAAGUAACAAUAUGGCUCAAGUAAACUUCCUUAAAUCAAAGAAAGCAUAUAGUUUAGCACGUCUUACACGUUAUUAAGGUCUCAAAUGAUAGGGACCUCUAUAGUGGUUAAAACGUAGUUUUUCUUUUAAAAAAGAAGUUGUAACACUAAUAGCAUGAUUCUGGCCAGAGGUGGGUAGCCCGGUUAUAAAAAUCAGAAGCUUAAUAAAGUAGGUAGGUGCAUCAUUUCAAAAUCAUUUUCAGUAGAGUUUUGUUUUAAGACAGAAAGCUGAGUGAGCUUCAGAAAAUCAAAACAAGAGUAGGAACGGCAGAGUUGAAAUUUUAAAAGGUUGGUUGGUUUUAAAAUAAAUAAAAACACAAUUUAUUAGUUCUUGUCGGGUCUAAAGUUUGCCUAGACGUUGUUAUACACCGUCUGAUGUUUUUUUCUAAAGGGCGGACAUGCGUAUUAUUUUUUAAGAAAAAAAAAGUACACGUGAUAAGGCAUUUGCAGAAAACGUUUCAAAUCACUUAGCCAUGUUUUAAUGAAGUUAUUAGACAAACAUGAACUAAUUACUGCAAUUCAAACGAGUGAGAAGUCCUAAGGGAAGGACAUCUAAUGCACAUAAGAGUUCCUAAAAAACAUGGUUUCUAAAAUGUCAAUGCAGUAAUGACCAGUUAUUUGGCUUGUUGUUAAUUAUUUGUUGGUUAUUAACAUAUCGUGAUUGCAUGAUGAGCAUGAUGAUAGGCUAAAAGUAAAGAACCUAAAGCAGGAUCUCUAAUGAAUGAGAUACACGUCCUAUGCAAGUUAUCUAUUGCUCGGAUAAAUAAAUAAAAUCCUAUAAGCAUGUUUUCUACCCAUUUUUUAUACUAAACAUGCAUUACCCUCCCCAUAUUUACUAUUCAACCCCAAUCGUUUGUUUACAAAUUAUUAUACACCAGCAUCAUCUGAAUUACAGUAAACAAGAACAAAAAUAAGAAGCUACUCUAUAGAGAGCCUUCAAUCAGGCCCAGUCUUCCAACCUCAACCCCUUCGAGUUCACAACCUUUGCCAUGGUCUAGGUGCGGGAAAGCUUCCUAGGACCCAUUGGGUCCCUGGCCAAUGCCAGAACCUAGACAUUUUAGAAGAAUGCAGGACAAAUGCAGUGAGGAAUACCAACCUUGUGUGUCAAAGUUCAGUGAGUAUUCAGGGGUACUCAAAGCAAUGCUCACACGAAGGGGAUAGAACCUAUUCUGUAAGAGUAAUGUGAAAUGCAGCAAGAAUAAUAUUAAAAAAUAACGGGGUUUUCUUUAAAAAGAAAAUAGCAGAAAAAUGCUUGCAUACAAGGAUCAUGGGGAAAAGGGAAUAGAUAGAUCACAUAAUGCCAAAGAGGAUACAAGUUUAAUGAACAUGACUACACGUGAUCAAGGGAUUCAGGGGGGCCUAGAAGUAGUAAAGUUUAGGCAUGCUAAUGUAUAGCAACAGGACAUGGCAUAGCAAGGAACAGACAAAAGUCAAACUUUGCAUAUAAAUCAUAAGACAUGGUGUCGUAUUACAGAGAAAAAUCAAUUACACAUUGAACAGGAGAAGCACAAGUAGAAGAUAAUCACAAAGAUAAUGAAAUGACAACAAAAUAAACACAUUGGUGUGACACUUGAAAAUUAAUUAGGACAUACCAGUAUAAGAGCAAGAUCAGGGUGCAAAGACAAAGUAGUAACAUUAUAUUAGCCUUGGCUUUCAGCUGGAUAAUAAUAAGCAAGAGCAAAGAAUAGAGCAAAAGCAAAACAAAGAGCACAAGAGAAUGCAGGAUUGAGAGAGAGUGUGUGUGUGUGUGUGUGCUCAGAAGACUAUCGUGUGUUAUGUGUAAAUACUUAGGAUAUUUAUUGUUGAAAGUAGAUGGUAAAAUAAGGUAAAAAUCGAAGAAAUGUAUUAAUUGAAGAACUAGGAAUCAAUUAAUUAAAGAAUUAAGGAAGUACUCCCAUUAAUUAAAGGAAUCAAAAUCAAACAAAAGAUUCAGCACCAUAUAAGGCAAGUAGGAAAAAUCUAUGUGGGAUCAAAUAAGGAAGGAAUCAAGGUUCAGCAUUGCACAUAAUAGUCAAUUAAGACCAAGUAGAAUAGAGUACUAUAGCAAAUAAGGUAACAAAAAUUUAAUAAUUUAAAACAGGCGAAUAGAUGCUAGGGUUUAGAAAGAAAGUUUUUGAAUUACCAAUCAAUCAAGGAAAAUCAGAAUCAAUCAUGUAAAGUCAUGAUUAUGUAUUUUCAGCAUAUAAAUAGAGGUGAAUGAACAAAAAUAAGGAGCAAAAUUAGCCAUAUAGAUAGAAGGGAAUUAGAUAUGAACAAACACAACCAUCCACAGAUAGUGAACAUAGGUUAAGACUCAACAUGGUACAUUCAAGGCAUGAUGACCCGAAACAUUAACAAGAAUCCUGGAAAAUCAAGCUGACACACACAAUCAAACGAAGGAACAUGCUAACACGUAGAAGCAGAGUAAAGAAAAUCGUACUAACACACAAAAUCGAACAAAGGAACAUGCUAACACAUAGAGACAAGGCCAAGAAAAUUAGGCUAACACAGAUGAUCAAGGCAAAGAAACAUGCUAACACCCAUAAUCACUCGAGGAAACAUUUUUUAGAAAUUAGAUUUUUUUUCUUCGCAUGGUCUAACUAGAAAACAGUAAGAGCAUAGAAAUCGGUCAGAAUGAACAAAGAAGAGUUUUAAUCAUAAAGAAAAACAAUUGAAGCAUGCGUAAAAGAAAUCCAAGAAACCCUAAGUAAAAAAUGGUUCAAAGCAAAGGAUCUUUCAAAACAAACUCGAGAAUAAGCUGAACAUCGAGGAAAACAUGAAAAUAGCAUGAAAUAACACUCUUUUUGAGAGAUUUAGGAGAGAGCUAGGGUUUCAAAAAAGGGAAACCCUAAUAGAAGUAGAGAGAACCUAUUGAAACAUCAUAGAUCGUGACAUAUAGGGUGUGAUUUCUCCUGAGAUCACACCGAAGAACUUCCAAGUUGCAGAACCAGGAACCCUAGGUCUCAAUCACCAUGGUCCAUAAGCUCGAAGGUCCUAGAGGUGUUGAACAGAACGAUGAGAGGCCCAUCAGAGCCUUGGGGUUGAAGGGAGGUGGCCGGAUAUGGUCGGAAACAAACUAGGCGAAGCUUUCAGGAAUUGAUACAUAUGGUGGGGCUUCUGGUGCCUCAAAAUAGAGGGAAUCAGUGAGCUAGGGUUUCAUAGCGGUUGAUGGUCGAAUGGGGUGAGAUUGGAGGUGGCCGGAGAGGCAGUGGAGAUCACCGGAGAAGAGAGAACCAGAAGGUUCCAGAGAGAAGGGAGAGGAAGAUAUAUAUAUAUAGAAUGUUGGUUACCAUGCCGAAUCUGGGGACUUCGUGAAUGGGGUGAGAUUGGAGGUGGCCGGAGAGGCAGUGGAGAUCACCGGAGAAGAGAGAACCAGAAGGUUCUAGAGAUAAGGGAGAGGAAGAGACGAGAUAGAGAGAGAGACCGUCUCGUGAAAAUGAUGGUUCUAUGGGGGGAUUAAUUGAAUUUAAUUAAGGGAAUUAAAUCCAGACCGUUGAUCUCAUUUGAUCAACGACUCAGAUUAAAACGGGGGCGGAUUGGGUCAUAUUCGGGAUUGGAUGGGUUGGUUUAAAUGGGGUAAUUGGCCAUUAAAAAAAUCUGAUAGGGCGGUGUGGCCAAUUUGUCUAGAAUGUUAUAAAUAAUACACUUCUAUUUAAGGUGAAUGUCUUUAAUUAGAGAGAUUCUAGAGUUCUCUUCUUGGUAGCUAAAUCAUCCUCCUCCCUAUAAGUAGAGGUGCCCUCUACCAUUGUAAAUCACUCCUAACAUUCUCUAAGUAUCAAUAAGAAGAACUCUCUCUACUCUUCUCUCUAUUUGAAAAAAUCUGAUAGGGCGGUGUGGCCAAUUUGUCUAGAACUGAUUAAUGAGGGAUGUUUGUUAAAUAAUCAAUUUUUCCCUUUUAUUAUUUUAUAAAAUAGUAAUAAUGAUUUAAAAGUAAAUUAAAGGUACUGAACUAAUUAAUAACAUAUAAAUACUAAUGUAAAAAUACUAAAAAUGAUUUUAUAAUUAUAAAUGCAUGUUAAUUGUAAAAUUGGCUAUAAUUACAAUCAUACAAAAUUUAGCUUUAAAAACUAGACAAAUGUAUAGAAAAUAUGCAAUAAUUACCCCAAUUAUAUCUUAGUGUAAGUAUGGGAAUGAAAUAAAUUAUUCACCAAACAAAAUGCUAAUUUGGGAAUAAUUAUUGGAUUUUGUAGUAUUAAAAUAAAUAAUAAAUAUAAAACCUUCAAAAAUAAAGGAAAAUACCAAAACUAUUGGGCAUGCUUAUAUAUGCAUGUCAAUGUUAUUUUGAGAAUAUAAAAAAUAGGUAGGAAAAAAUUAGGUAUCAACAGCUGCCCCUCUUUACCCGAGAGGGAUGAAAGAUUUGUCGGGUAAAGAUAUGAUGGCCAAUUUUAACCGAAAGAAAAGAUUUGAAAAGGUUUUAUCCGAGCUCUGGCUCCUAAGCUGCCUACAUAUCCCUGGUCUUACCGGAAUCAGGCCACAUGUAGUUGGGGGAACCUAUCAGCGGAACAUGCCGAUGGAGACUUUCAAAUGACGAAUGCAAUAUUCAGGUUGGGAAAGACAAUCAAGAACCGAUGGGCUGCUUGGAAUUGGAGCAAGAUCGCUCCUGAUGUGAUGGUCGUUGCUAGUCGAUGUACCUGCAAAUAAGCAAUACGAGCAUAUAUAGUGCAUGAAUUUAAAGGUGAUGCAGGUUCCUAUUGGACCAUGAAUGCUAUCUUCAGACGGAUCGGAUGACAUCCCAGGCCAUGAAGCGUAUAAUAAAGGAUUCACAGUGCUAUGAAAUGAUGCUCUCGGGCCAUGAUAAUGAUGCCUCCGAACCAUGAUGACUUUGAAUAAUGAUAUGCAAAAGAUAAAAGUGUGGUCCUCAGACCAUGGCAUGGCAUUCUCGGGCUAUGAAAAUGGUGCCUCCGAACAAUGACGCCUUCGGACGAUUUGGUGAUUUUUCAGUCCAUGAAAUGCAGGAUUUGGCGAUAUUGUAGCUGAUGUAGGAUUUAAACAAAAUUGGCGAUAUUGCAGCCGACAUAGAGAUUUAAAUAAAGUUGGCAUUAUUUCAGCCUUUCAGGAUUAAACAAAAUUGGCGAUAUUGUAGCCGACAAAGAGAUUUAAAUAAAUUUGGCGAUAUUUCAGCCAUGCAGACGGAGACAAUGCUUUGUCUCGGAAUGCAGAAAGGUAGCCUUAUGCAAUGAAAGGAAAUGCAGAUGGAGACAAUGCUUAAUCUCGGAAGGCAGAAAGGCAGCCUUAUGCAAUGCACGAAAAAUGCGGGAUGGAGGUAUAUCUUAACCUCAGAAGGUAGAAAAGUAGCCUUAUGCAAUGCAAGGAAAUGCAGGAUGGAGGUAGAGCUUAACCUCGUAAGUAGAAAAAGUAGCCUUAUGCAAUGCAAGGAAAUGCAGGAUUGAGGUAGAGCUUAACCUCGGAAGGCAGAAAAGUAGCCUUAUGCAGUGCAAAGAAAUGUUGGAUGGAGGUAAAGCUUAACCUUGGAAGGGAGAAAAGUAGCCUUGUGCAAUGCAAGGAAAUGUAGGAUGGAGGUAGAGCUUAACCUCGGAAGGCAGAAAAGUAGCCUUAUGCAAUGCAAGGAAAUGCAGGAUGGAGGUAGAGCUUAACCUCUAAAGAAAGAAAAGUAGAAAUAUGAAAUGUAAGGAAAUGUAAGAUGGAGGUAGAGCUUAACCUCUAAAUGUAGAAAAGUAGCCUUAUGCAAUGCAAUGAAUUGCAGGAUGGAGGUACAGCUUAACCUCGGAAGACAGAAAAGUAACCUUAUGCAAUGCAAGGAAAUGCAGAUGGAGACAAUGCUUAGUCUCAAAAGGUAGAAAGGUAGCCUUAUGCAAUGCAAGAAAUACAGGUGGAGAGUAACGAAAUCUCUUAGCUGAUAGAUGAUAGCCGCUUGUGAAUUGUGUCAUUGUGGCCGCUGGGGAUGUCGCGUAUGGAUAAAAAUUGUAAAUAGGUGAUGACUUUGAGAGUCGCAUUCCUGAAAAGUGUGAGUGUGUAAUUGUGUUUGAUGAUUUUAUGCCUUGGGUGCCUGCAUCCAAAGAAAAAUCAUGAGCUUUGUAAAAAGGGGAAAGGCUAGUUCGUCCUCCUGUGGACUUUGCUUGUUCUGCUCGACUCUUGCUUUUAUUGGGGGUAGCAUCGCUAAACAAAGCAAUUUUGAUAGUAGCCAUGCAUGAUUAGUUUGUAAAGAUGUAAAUACAUAAUUUAAAAAAUGAUUUUCUUUUAGAUGAACCGAAGACUGCGAUGCGGUUCAAGAUAUUUGUGACAAUUUUUGCUCUGAAAUUUUGAGGGUCCUUCUCAAACUUCUGCCUCAAUUACUUGGUUAGUGCUUCUGACGGCUGCGUAUAAUGAAUGGCUAAAAGUUGAUAAGAAUUUUGAGGGUCCUCCUCAAAUUCUGCCCCAGUUUCCAGUAUCGAGGAAAUAAUUUUUUAUUGAAUUGUGACCGAACUCAUAGGGCUACCUAUCCCCUCUUAAAUGGGAAUCAGGUCAGGCGUAGUUCAAAUUACAUCAUAAAGAAAUCAUAAUGAUUACACAUAAUAGCGUUUGACUAUGUCUGAAUUAAUUGGCUUUGGCCGGACUUCUCCAUCAAUUUCAGCGAGUAUGAGGGAUCCUCAUGUUAGGACCCGGUGAACCAUGUACGGGCCUUGCCAGUUAGGAGAGCUCUUUCCUUUGGCCUCAUCCUGAUACGGGAAAAUUUUCUUCAGCACCAGCUUCCCCGGUGUGAAUUGUCUUGGCUAGACUCUUUUGUUAAAGGCUUUGGACAUCCCGUUCUGAUACAAUUGACUAUGGCAAACUGCAUUCAUCAUAUUUCUGUCUCUGAGGGCUAACUGCUCAUAGCGGCUCUUUACCCAUUCUGCAUCUUCAAGUUCCGUUUCAUGUAUAAUCCUUAGGGAGGGAAUUUCUAUCUCGUCCGGGAUGACUACCUUGGUACCGUAAACCAACAUAUAGGGAGUCGCACAGGUUGAUGUGCGAACUAUGGUGUGGUAUCCCAAUAGAGAAAAAUGAUAGCUUCUCGUGCCACUGCUUGUGCUUCUCUAUCAUCUUCCUCAGUAUCUUCUUGAUGUUCUUGUUGGCCGCUUGUACUGCUCCCUCAUCUGAGGCUAUAUGCUGUAGAGUCCUUGUGUUUGAUUUUGAAUGUUUCACACAUGGCUUUCAUCAAGUAACUGUUGAGAUUGAAAUUAGUAUCGGUAAUAAUUGAUUAUGGGAUGUCGAACUAGCAAAUGAUGCGGUUGCGGGCAAAGUCUAUCACGACCUUCUUAGUCACUGCCUUAUAUGAUGUUGCUUCCACCCAUUUGGUGAAAUAAUCAAUUGCCACUAGAAUGAACCUAUGCUCGUUUGAUGUGGCAGGCUUGAUAGGUCCAAAUCCAUUCCCAAAGCGACAAAUGGCCACAACGAUCUUGUUGCGUUAAGCUCAUUUGGAGGCACCUUUAUCAUAUCUGCAUGUAUCUAAUAGCAAUGGCAUUUUUGAACAUACUGGAUGCAGUCCGUUUCCAUAGUCAUCCAAAAAUAACCUGCCCGGAGUACCUUCUUUGCUAAGACAAAGCCAUUCAUAUGUGGACUGCAUGUCUCUGCAUUCGCUUCUUUUAAUAACCUGGAUGCUUCAUUUGCUUCGACACAUCUGAGUAAUCCCAAAUCAGGAGUCCUCCUAUACACGAUUCCUCUAUUGUGAAAGACGUUGUUAGACAACCUCCGAAGUGUGCGUUUGUGAGUAGAAUUUGCAAGUUCUGGAUAUCCUCAUGUUGUCAGAUACUCCUUGAUAUCACAGAACCAAGGGUUUUCGUCUGCUUCUUCAUCAACAUGAGCACAGUAAGCUGGCUGAUCACGAAUUUUCACCGAGAUGGGAUCAAUGAAGUUCUUAUCUGGAUGCUGAAUCAUAGAUGAUAAGGUGGCCAACGCGUCGGCGAACUCAUUCUGGACUCUGGGUACAUGCUGGAAUUCUGUCUUUGUAAACCUCUUCCUCAACUCAUGUACAUAAUACAGAUACGGGAAUAUCUUGGAGUUCUUGGUUUCCCGUUCUUCUGGGACCUUCCGUAUGAGCAAGUCUGAAUCCCCAAUUACUAGUAACUCCUGAAUGUUCAUGUCAAUGUACAACUUGAACCCUAAGAUGCAGGAUUCAUAUUUGGCCAUGUUAUUGGUGCAUGAGAAUCUGAGCUUUACGGACACCGGAUAAUGCUGACCUGUUUCUGACACCAGGACUGCUCCUAUACCAACUUUUUUGAAGUUUGCUGCUCCGUCGAAGAACAUCCUCCAACCAUCAUAGGAUUGUGCAAUAUCCUCUCCUAUGAAAUAUACCUCUUCAUUAGGAAGAUAUGUCUUCAGAGGCUCGUAUUCUUCGUUUACGGAAUUCUCGGCGAGGUGAUCUGCCAAGUCCUGUCCUUUGUUUGCCUCUUAAGAUACGAAAACAAUGUUAAACUUGCUUAGCAAGAUUUGACACUUGGCUAGCAUGCCAGUGAGCACGGGCUUCUGAAAAAUGUACUUUAGCGGAUCCAUUCUUGAUAUGAGGUAGGUGGUAUAGGCACAAAAAUAAUGCCUCAAAUUUUGAGCUACCCAAGUCAGAGCAUAAUAGGUGUGUUCUAAUAGAGAGUAUCGAGCCUUGUGUGGAGUGAAAUUAUUCCUCAGGUAAUAGAUAGCUUUCUCCUUUCUCCCUGUUUCGUCAUAAGGUAGGGCAAUAGGGGUCUACAUGGUGCGGGCAAAACCAAAACUGGCAGCGUUGACAGGUAUUCCUUGAUUCUGCUGAAAGCUUUCUGACAAUCAUCGAUCCAUUUGGUAGCACCAUCCUUGUUCAACAUCUUAAAGAUAAGUUCGCAAAUGACAGUGGACUGAGCUAUAAAACAGCUUAUGUAGUUGAGUUUUCCCAGGAAGCUCAUCACAUCCGCCAUUCUUGAAUGGCCUUAACUUUUGAUGGAUCUAGCUCUAUUCCUCGACGACUCACAAUGAACCCUAAUAUUUUUCCGGCAGGAACCUCGAAUGCACACUUGGCGGGAUUUAUCUUUAGAUUGUACCUUCUUAGACUAUUGAAAAACUUCCUCAAAUCCUCCAAGUGGUCAGGGGCUUUCUUGGAUUUGAUGAUACAUCAUCUAUGUAUACCUCGAUCUCUUUGUGUAUUAUGUCAUGGAAAAUAGUAGUCAUGGCCCUCAUGUAGGUGGACCCUACAUUCUUCAACCCAAACAGUAUCAUUUUGUAAUAAUACAUCCCCGAUGGUGUAAUAAAAGUUGUUUUCUUUGAGCCUUCUUCAUCCAUCCAUAUCUGAUGAUACCCAGCAAAACAAUCGACGAAUGACUACAACUCAUUCUUGGAACAGUUGUAAAUUAGAAUGUGUAUGUUCGAUAAGGGGAAGUCAUCUUUCGGACUGGCUCGGUUGACAUCCCGGUAGUCGACAAAGACCCUAACCUUCCCAUACUUUUUUGGCACUAGCACAAUGUUGUCUAACCAUGUUGGAUAUUCUACUACCGUGAGAACCUUGGCUUUGACUCGCUGUGGUAACCUCUUCCUUGAUUUUCAAACUCAUGUCAGGUCUGAACUUCCUGAGCUUCUAUUUUAUUAGCGGACAUACUUGAUCCUUGGCAGUUUGUGAUCUACAAUAGAUGUUCUGAGACCAGUCAUAUCAUUAUACGAACAGGCGAAUAUAUCCUCAUAUUCCCUUACAAACUCUAUGUACUCUUCCUUUUCUGAUGGUGACAGAUGAACAUUGAUGCGCAUUUCCUUGACAUUCUCUAUAUCACCCAAGUUGACAACCUCAGUUUUUUCCAAGUUAGACUUAGGCCUAUUCUCAAAGUUCUCAACUACUUUAACAACCUCUUAUGGUAUAUCAUCUUUUCUGAUUCUAUGUUUGUCGCGUUACCUAGUAGCAAGUCACAAUCGUUGGUUCCUCAAGAUAACUAAUAGUAAUGAUGUGUAAAUAAAAUAAUUGGUAAAAAGGUAAUGAGCGCGAGAUUUAUAAGAAACUAAAAUGCUUUGAUAAAUUUCAUAAAGUGUUUUGAACAUUGGAGCUCUUAUUUCGAAAUUAAAAUACGGAAAGAAAAUCAACUUGCAAAAAGUAAAUGGUGAUGCAUGAUGCUUUGUUCAGCUUUGCUACCCUGAAGCCUUCCGGGACCUGGUGGUUUUGAUAGACCAAUUAUUGAGGCGUGCUCCUCGAUUUACGGCUUGUACGAAAGGGACUUCCACCCCUUCCUCCUCGAAAACAACACAACACUCCAUAUUAUCAUCCUCCAGGAACAAGUUCCUCAUUGUUGCUAAUGCUUCCUCUUCUUCUGACCCAUAAAUGACUUCGGCUUGCUGAAAAGUCUGCUCUAGGCGAGGUACCGGAUGCUCCAGUGGCGAGCAUUCAUCAAACUCUUUUUAGGUGUACUCAUAUCCUAAGAAGAAAGUGGUACCAUGUUUCUUUGGCUUGAUCGGCUUGGCGAUCCCUUGGAGAUUCUUGCCAAGUCCCUUGCCAUGUUUGUAUCCACACCAAUUCAGUAUACUUUCUAUCUUGUUAUCCCACCAUUUAUCCUUGUUCAUGGCAUUGACUCUUUCAAUAUGAUGGUAGGUUUCUCCACCUAUAUUUCUCCUUCCUCCGAUUGCUGGAAUGGUUUGACGACUCUAUAUGGGAUUGCUACCGUCGCUGUGAAUAAUUACCUCUUAGCGAUUCCACUCAAAUUUCUCUGUUUGGUGUAGGUUUGAUUCUACAGCUCCAGCGGCAUGGAUCCAGGGCCGUCCCAACAACAUAUUGUAGGACAUCGGGAUAUCUUUCACUUGAAAGUCAACAUCAAACUAAGUUGGUCUCAUUUGCAGACAUAAACUAAUUUCCUCGAUGGUGAACCUUUGCGAUCCAUCGGUUCGUAUCUCCACCAAUUCAGUAUACCUUCGGUCUUGUUAUCCCACCAUUUAUCCUUGUCUAUGUCAUUGACUCGCUCAAUGUGAUGGUAAGUUUCCCCACCUAUCUUUCUCCUUCCUUCGCUGGGAUGGUCUGGCAAACUAUAUAUGGGAUUGCUACCGUUGCUGUGAAUAAUUACCUCUUGGUGAUUCCAUUCAAAUUUCACCUCUUGGUGUAGGGUUGAUGCUACAGCCCCAGCAGCAUGGAUCCAGGGUCGUCCCAACAAUAGAUUGUAGAACGCCGAGAUAUCUGUCACUUGAAAGUCAACGUCGAACCAAGAUGGUCCCAUUUACAGACAUAAACUGAUUUGCUCGAUGGUGGACCUUUGGGAUCCAUAGAAAUCUUUGAUGUUGAUGGCCCCAUCUUUGAUCUCAUGCAGGCUCUUGCCCAAUGUUCUAAUAGUUACCAAUGGACAAAUAUUGUGGUUAGACCCUCCAUCGAUCAAACUCUUUGAGAUGAAAUGAUCUUCGCAUUGCACAGUGAUAUGCAGCGCCUUGUUAUGGCUAAACCCUUCAGGUGGCAGCUCAUCUUCGUGGAAGGUGAUUUUGUAACUCUCCAAUACUUUCCCUACCAUGUUUUCCAUUUCUUUUCCAGAUAUGUUGCUGGGUAUGUACGCCUCACUCAGUAUCUUCAACAAGGCAUUCAUAUGUGCAUCGGAGCUUUGCAGAAGAGCUAGGAUGGAGAUCUGUGCCGAUGUUAUUCAGCUGAUCAAUUCUAAGUACUAUUUUGCUUGUAUCUUCCUCCAAAGAUCAUCGGGCCUAGUUUCAACAGGCCGUCUAGAGGUCUACUUCCUCGAUUCAGCUAAAUACUCUAGAGUAUAGACCCUGCCAGUUUGGGUCAUACCAUGUGCUGCAAUUUGCUACUCCAGAUUUUGUUUUCCCUUUUCUUCUUGCAUCGGCUAUGUCGUCCCAGGGAACGGCCUGUGUAUGGAACGGUGUUAUGGCUGACAUUGCUACAGGAAUGGGUACUCUCGCUUUGGGAGGUAACACAGCAACUUCAAAUGGUGCCUUUUGGGACCCAAACUCAACCUCAAUUGGUCCUGACGCCUUUACGUGAGAUGGUGCCUUAAGAUCAAGUGGUAUGGACAUGUUUAGUUCAGCAUCUUCAAAAGGCUGAAAUUGGACAACGAUCGGGCUAAGUGUGACUAUUGGUUCUUUGGCUUUUCACCUUUAGUAAUCAACCCGAUCGAUCCCAAUUGUCUUUUAUCUCUAUUAUGUGAAUGCUCCAGCCCUUAUGGUCAGCUAGAGGGUUAUUGUGAAUAUUAGGAGCAGGAUCCUUUGCCACGAUGAUCUUAUUAUCAAUCAAAGCCAGAAUCUUGUCCUUUAGGGAGUGGAACUCCUCAAUGGUAUGACCUUUCAUGCCGGAAUAGUAUGCACAGGUUUUGUUCGUGUUGACCCAUUGGGAAGGACUUUUUGGGGUUAUGGCAGGGAUAGGGGUAACGUAACCAGGGUCUUUAAGCCUUUCAUACAGCUAGUUAAUUGGUUCGGCAAUGGCGAUGUACUAUUUGGGAGGUCUGCGAUUGAAGUUUGGUCGGGGUCUAGGGAAAUAUUAGCGAGAUAAUUGUUGUUGGGUAUUAUAGGCUUGGUAGACGUGUGCUGGUUGGGAGUGUUUGGGGGAAGUGGGCAGAUACGUGAAUGGUGGAGAUGAUUGGCAAAUAGGCGGGUGGAGCUUGUUAGGAAGGUGAGGGUGUUUGGUAACUUGGAUAGGUUGAUGUGUGAGUGGAGGUAAUGGGUAUGUUUGGUAUCUGACUAGAGAUUUUGUCCUCUGUGCAACCACUACGGCACUCUUAUCCCUUUUCUUGGAUGUGCCGCCAGACUGUAGAGCCUUGUUGGUGGCUUGCAAUGCUUCAAAGUUAGUUACCGUACCACUUUUAAUACCUUCUUCUAUUCUCUCUCCUAAAUUGAUGAUGUCAGAAAACUUCUGGCCCUCGAUUAGCAUCAUCCUCUCAUAAUAUUGGGGGGUCUUUAGCCCGAACGAAAAACCUAUUCAUAUGUUCUUAUUCUAAGGCCGGCUUGACCUUAGCAGCCUCUGACCUCCAACGAGUAGCAUACUCGCGGAGAGUUAUUAGAGGUGUCUUCUUCAAAUUUUGGAUGUAGAAUACAUCUGGUGCAUUCUCAGUAUUGAAUCUGACUACACAGGAUCGAGGGAUUCAGGGGGGCCUAGAAGUAGUAAAGUUUAGGCAGGCUAAUGUAUAACAACAGGACAUAGGCAUAGCAAGGAACAGACAAAGUCAGACUUAGCAUGUAAAUCAGAAGACAUAGUGACGUAUUAGAGCGAAGAAUCAAUUACACAUUGAACGGGAGAAGCAUAAGUAGAAGAAAAUCACAAAGAUAAUGACCUAAAAAAAAUAAACACAUUGGUUUGAUACUUGAAAAUUAAUUAGGACAUACUAGUAUAAGAGCAAGAGCAUGGUGAAAAUACAAAGAAGUAAUACUAUAUUAGCCUUGGCUUUCAGCAAGCUAAUAAUAAGCAAGAGCAUAGAAUAGAGCAAAAGCAAAAGAAAGAGCACAAGAGAAUGCAGGAUUAAGAGUGUGUAUGUGUGUGUUCAGAAGACUGUCGUGUGUUCUGUGUAAAGAGUUAGGGUAUUUAUAGUUGAAAGUAGGUGGUAAAUAAAGGUAAAAAUCAAAGAAAUAUAUUAAUUGAAGAACUAGGAAUCAAUUAAUUAAAGAAUCAAGGAAGUACUCCUAUUAAUUAUGGGAAUCAAAAUCAAAUGAAAAAUUCAGCACCAUACAAGACAAGUAGGAAAAAUCAGUGUGGGAUCAAAUAAGGAAGGAGUAAUGGUUCAGUAUUGCACAUAGUAGCCAAUUAAGACCAUGUUCAGGGAAAAUCCAAUUAAGGAAAGGCCAAGUAGAAUAGAGUACUAUAUCAAAUAAAGUAACAAAAAUCAAUUAAUUUAAAAUAGGCGAAUAGAAUGCUAGGGUUUUGAAAGAAAGUUUUUGAAUUACUAAUCAAUCAAGGAAAAUCAAAAUCAAUCAUGUAAAUUCAUGAUUCUAUAUUCUCAACAUAUAAAUAGAGGUUAAUGAACAAAAUUAGCGAGCAAAAUUAUCCAUAUAGACAAAAGGGAACUAGUAUGAACAAACAAAACUAUCCAGAGAUAGUGAACAUAGGUUAAGACUCAGCAGGAUACAUUCAAGGCAUGAUGACCCGAAACAUUAACAAGAAUCCAGGAAAAUCAAGCUGACACACACAAUCAAACGAAGGAACAUGCUAACACGUAGAAGCAGAGUAAAAAAAUCGUGCUAACAUACAUAAUCAAUGCAAAGAAACAUAUUAACACCCAUAAUCAGUCGAGUAAACAUUUUUAGAAAUUAGGUCUUUUUUUCUUGUUUAGACUCGAAAAUAAGCAAAACAUAGAGGAAAACAUGAAAAUAGCAUGAAAUAACACUGCUUUUGAGAGAUUCAGGAGAGAGCUAGGGUUCGAAAAAAGGGAAACCCUAAUAGAAGUGGAGAGAACCUGUCAAAACUUCAUAGAUAAGAGUAAAGAAAAUCGUGCUAACACACAUAAUCAAACGAAGAAACACGGUAACACAUAGAGACAAUGCCAAGAAAAUUAGGCUAACACACAUGAUCAAGGCAAAGAAACAUGCUAACACCCAUAAUCAGCCGAGUAAACAUUUUUUAGAAAUUAGGUUUUUUUAGCAGAAUCAAACUAGAAAACAGUAAGAGCAUAGAAAUCAUUCAGUAUUAAAAAAGAAAAGGUUUAAUCAUAAAGAAAAUCAAUUGAAGCAUGCGUAAAAGAAAUCCAAGAAACCCUAAGUAAAAAAAUGGUUCAAAGAAAAGGAUCUUUCAUAAUAAACUCGAGAAUAAGCAGAACAUCGAGGAAAACAUGAAAAUAGCAUGAAGUAACAUUUUUUUUGAGAGAUUCGGGAAAGAGCUAGGGUUUCAAAAAAGGGAAACCCCAAUAGAAGUGGAGAGAACCUAUCGAAACUUCAUAGAUCGUGACAUAUAGGGUGUGAUUUCGCCUGAGAUCACAACGGACAACUCGAAAGUAGCAGAACCAGGAACCCUAGGUCUCAAUCAUCAUGGUCUAUAAGUUCGAAGGUUCUAGAGGUGUUGAACAGGACAAUGAGAGGCCCAUCAGAGCCUUGGGGUUGAAGUGAGGUGGCCGGAGAUGGCCGGAUAAACUAGGUGAAGCUUUCAAGGAUUGAUUCGCAUGUUGGGCCUUAUGGGGUAUCAAAAUAGAGGGAAUCAGUGAGCUAGAGUUUCAUGGCGGUUGAUGGUCGAAUGGGGUGAGAUUGGAGGUGGACGGAUAGGCAGUGGAGAUCACCGGAAAAGAGAGAACCAAUAGGUUCUAGAGAGAAGGGAGAGGAAGAGACGAGAUAGAUAAAGAGAGAUCAUCUCGUGAAAAUGAGAGGUCUAUGGGGUAAUUUAAUUUAAUUUAAUUUAGGGAAUUCAAUCUGGGCCAUUGAUCUUAUUUGAUCAACGCUCAGAUUAAAAUAAAGGUGGAUCGGGUCAUAUUACGGAUUGGGCUGGGCUGGGCUGGUUUAAAUAGGGUGUUGGGCCAUUCAAAAAAUCUGGUAGGGAUUGUGGCCAAUUUGGCUAGAAUUGAAAUAAUGAGGGUUGUUUGUUAAAUAGCCAAUUUUCCCCUUUUAUUAUUUUAUGAAAUAGUAAAAAUGAUCUAAAAAUAAAAUUAAAGGUACUGGACUAAUAAAUAACAUAUAAAUAUUAAUGUAAAAAUAAGAAAAGUGAUUUUAUAAUUAUAAAAUCCAUGUUAAUUGUAAAAUAAGCUAUAAUUGCAAUCAUGCGCAAUUUAGCUUAAAAAUACUAGACAAAUGUAUAGAAAAUAUGUAAAAAUUACCCCAAUUAUAAUUUAGUGUAAAUAUGGAAAUGAAAUAAAUUAUUCGCAAAAAAUGCUAAUUUGAGAAUAAUUAUUGAAUUUUGUAGUAUUAAAAUAGACAGUAAAUUGAUUUAAAAACCUUUAAAAAUAAAGAAAAAAUACCAAAAAUUUUGGGCAUGCUUAUAUAUGCAUGUCAAUGCUAUUUUGAGAAUAUUUUGAGUAUAUAAAAAAUAGGUAGGGAAAAAUUAGAUAUAAACAAUGUUAUCAGGAACAUGUGCCUCUUUCAGAAUCUUCAUCAUGGCCCAAUGAUGUUCAUCUGAUUGUGUCAACAAAGAUAACAGAGAAAUAUUAGUUGGAGCUUUCGUUAAUUGUUCAAAAAUGGAAAAGUCUUGCACUUUCAUUUUUCUCAAGAACUCUUCGACCUCCUCCUCGGUCACUGAUUUCCUCACAGGCAUUUGGCUACCCUUGAAGAGCUUGGCCUUCCUUAGUACUUUGAGGUAAGACAUCCUCCGAAAUGAUUCAAUCCUCCGAUCUCAACAAAUUCCUCCUCCCUUUAUUUUCCUUUGUGUGUCAUUAUUGCUCGUUUGCAGUUCCUCUGGACAUCCUUUGUCUCAGCCGCUAGAAACUAAGUCAUUGCUUUAAUAACAACAGGGGUAACGGGAGACCCUUUCACAACUACAACAUGCUUGCUUGGCAUCCCUAAUACCACCAACUUUGCUUUUUCCGACUUUCCCCAACAUCAUUUGAAGACCCUUCUGCAAACAUCACACGUUUUCUAGAUACUUCAUCUUGCUCCACAACCACAGCGGAUUUUCCAUUACAAUUGGAGUCCCGAAAUGAGGAGUGCACCAGUAUGGAUCCGAGGUCUUGAAUGUUGGUUUGUACCAUAGUAUUGGGCAUCAGGAACUUUGAACAAGGUUUCACUAGAAGAUAGAGGGAUGUUGGCAUGGGGAGGGGCUGCAAAGGCGGGAGUAGUUAAUGACACGCUUGUAUUGGUGGGUGCAGCAUGAAAAGGCUGGGGCAAGGUGACAGGGUAGGUAAUCUACAGGGUAGUUGUGGCAAGGGGUAAAGCCGGGAGCAUGUUGGGAGGAGAGUCCAACGGCAUUGAGAAUCUAGGAUUGUGAUGGUAGUGGGACGGAAGCAAGACUUUCGAAUAGUUGUAGGGAAUGAGGGUAGAGGGGGCCCACUAAUCCAAGCCUGGUACAUAAAGUGAGAUUAUGUUAUAUUAAAUGCCCUAAUGCUAACGUGAUGGCUUUAUAUUAAGUCAAGGCGGUGGUUAGUUUGUGGCAUUCGGGCAAGUCAUCCAUGCAUGCUAGGUCAAACUGCAAGACAGCCAUGACUGCAAAGAGAUCGGACAUAGAUGUAGUCGAAUUGGAAUUUGAGUUUAAAGAAGAGGCCCAAAGGUUGAAACGUCAGAUAGCAGAGAUGUACCAGGCUUGGAUUAGUGGGCCCCCUCUACCCUCAUUCCCUACAACUAUUCGAAAGUCUUGCUUCCGUCCCACUACCAUCACAAUCCUAGAUUCUCAAUGCCGUUGGACUCUCCUCCCAACAUGCUCCCGGCUUUACCCCUUGCCACAACUACCCUGUCACCUUGCCCCAGCCUUUUCAUGCUGCACCCACCAAUACAAGCGUGUCAUUAACUACUCCCGCCUUUGCAGCCCCUCCCCAUGCCAACAUCCCUCUAUCUUCUAGUGAAACCUUGUUCAAAGUUCCUGAUGCCCAAUACUAUGGUACAAACCAACAUUCAAGACCUCGGAUCCAUACUGGUGCACUCCUCAUUUCGGGACUCCAAUUGUAAUGGAAAAUCCGCUAAGGUUGUGGAGCAAGAUGAAGUAUCUAGAAAACGUGUGAUGUUUGCAGAAGGGUCUUCAAAUUAUGUUGGGGAAAGUCGGAAAAAGCCAAAGUUGGUGGUAUUAGGGAUGCCAAGCAAGUAUGUUGUAGUUGUGAAAGGGUCUCCCGCUACCCCUGUUGUUAUUAAAGCAAUGACUCAGUUUCUAGCGGCUGAGACAAAGGAUGUCCCGGGGAACUGCAAACGAGCAAUAAUGACACACAAAGGAAAAUAAGGGGAGGAAGAAUUUGUUGAGAUCGGAGGACUGAAUCAUUUCGGAGGAUUUCGUACCUCAAAGUACUAAGGAGGGCCAAGCUCUUCAAGGGUAGCCAAAUGCCUGUGAGGAAAUCAGUGACCGAGAAGGAGUUCAAAGAGUUCUUGAGAAAAAUGAAAGUGCAAGAGUUUUCCAUUUUUGAACAAUUAAGGAAAGCUCCAACUAAUAUUUCUCUGUUAUCUUUGUUGACACAAUCAGAUGAACAUCACAGGGCCAUGAUGAAGAUUCUGAAAGAGGCACAUGUUCCUGAUAACAUUGUUUAUAUCCAAUUUUUCCCUACCUAUUUUUUAUAUACUCAAAAUAUUCUCAAAAUAGCAUUGACAUGCAUAUAUAAGCAUGCCCAAAAAUUUUUGGUAUUUUUUCUUUAUUUUUAUAAGUUUUUAUAUCAAUUUACUGUCUAUUUUAAUACAUGCAUGGAUGACUUGCCCGAAUGCCACAAACUAACCACCUGCCUGGACUUAAUAUAAAGCCAUCACGUUAGCGUUAGGGCAUUUAAUAUAACAUAAUCUCACUUUAUGUGCAAUGCACCUAGCCAUAGUUAUCGGUUCUAAAAUGACUUCGAGGGUACAAAGGUCAGUUGGCAUCAUCCUAAUUUGUUUAUUUCAACCUCUCUUUUCUUUGCUUUUCUAGCACUUGCUUGCUCAUUUUCCUUCCUCUUUUCCCUUAUAAUUAUCACUCUUUUCUUUCGUCUCAUUUCUCACAUCCCAUGAUUUCACCUCUUUUUUUCCUUUCCUCUCUUUUUUUCUUUUUCCUUCUCUUUUAAUAAUUAAAAAAAUGAUUUGAUCGAAUCCUGUAUAGGUUUCCUACGUAUCAUGACGCCACAUGAAUUAGAUCUUUGCGUAGUUCUGGAAGAUCGGGAAUAAAGUAAACAAACUAACAUUCUCAUUUUCGUUUCAUUUUUUUUCUUUCUUUUUACCUUAAUGACUACCAUGACAAGGUGAGGGAAGUGGAAGAAAUAAAUCUCUCUUUUUUUGAAUUUUCUAAACUCAAUGAUCUAUAACCUAUUCUAGACUCAAGCUUAACGAGCAAAUAUUUUUAUUCCUUUGUUUUCCUCUUUUUAAAACAAACACUCUAAGAGAAAUUAUUAAGGAAAAUAUAUUUUGAUUCUUAUUUAGAAAGGAACUCUAAAGAAUAAAAAUAUUUUAAAUUUUCAUUCGAUAUCUUGAAGAAAGACUUCGAAACGAGAAAUGAACAAAAAAAAAAAAAAAAUAUUUAUAAUUUUUUUUUUUUUUUUUUUUUUUUUUUUUUUUUUUUUUUUUUUUUUUUUUUUUUUUUUUUUUUUUUUUUUUUUNNNNNNNNNNNNNNNNNNNNNNNNNNNNNNNNNNNNNNNNNNNNNNNNNNNNNNNNNNNNNNNNNNNNNNNNNNNNNNNNNNNNNNNNNNNNNNNNNNNNNNNNNNNNNNNNNNNNNNNNNNNNNNNNNUACAAUCUAUUUUAAAUAGUGUAUAAGAAAAGUAAAAAUUCCAUUUUUUUCACUCAUGAAACUGUCACCGUUUUCAAAAUAAUAUAUAUAUAUAUAUAUAUAUAUAUAUAUAUAUAUGUUUUUGGAUUUCGGUUUUUUAUUACCUAAGAAAGAAAUUUUAAUGAUAAAGAUAAAGUAUGGUUUUUUUCUUCUACGCACAAUGUCCUAAAGAUCUUGGGAAAAUGAAAGAAUAUUUCUUUUUUUCAUAAAUUUCCCAGAGAAGAACCUCAAAUGAAAUUUCUUUUUGGAUUUUUAAUACCUUAAAGGAAACUUUUAAAAUGUACUAAAAGUAAAAUUCUUUUUUUUUCUUUUGAAUUUUUGAUCCUAAUAUAGUAAAGGAAAUAUAAAAAUAAUUUUUAUUUUAAGUCCUAAAUAUUAAUUACCUAAAGGAAAAACCACAUCAAAAAUAUAUUUUUAGAAUUAGUAUUCUAAAGAAAAUUCCUAAGGGAAAUAUAAAACGCAAAAUCUCUUCUUUUUUUUUAUUACACACCUUUCAAAUGAAAAAAUGAAAGUACAAUAAAACUCGACAUCACUAUACAAAACUAAAAGAUAAAAGGCGACAUGAAAAGAAAAACAGACUCAAAAUAUAAAAAGAAAAGAAAAUCUUCUUUUAAUCCACUCCUGAAUGAGCGACCCUUCCUAGAUGCCCUGGGGCUCUAUCAUGCUCAAACUCCGGUAGGUAAAUCCAUAUCUGUAUGAGAAAAUUAAAACCAACUAGGUUAAAGACCUAGAAUGCUAUGUGAGACAAUAACCCUUCCUGUUGGAAACAUACAAGACAUGAUUUAGGCUACUUUUGCAAAAUGGCUUAUUUGGCCAAAAAGUGGCUAGAAGUGCAAAAUUUGGCUAAGACCCGCAAAGCCAAGAACCUAAAAUUUACUAGAAGACCGGACCCUAUAUGGUUUAUCCACGUAUCACGCCCCGAAAGACGAGAAUCAGGUAUGCAUAGUUCGGGCCUAUUGGAUACAAGCGAGAAAUUAAAAAAAUAACUAAUUUAGAGAAAGAUAUAUUAUUUGUCUUUUCCUUGAAUAUCAUGGAACAUGUAAAUCUUUUUGAAUUUUUUUUUUCCUCUUUUUUUGAUUUUUGGAAAAUGAUGGGAAAGUGCAAAAUUUUUUGAAUUUUUUUUAUCUUCUUUUUUUCCUCUUUUUUUUGUCAAAAAUGUGACAGAAAACAUAAUCGAGCCCUACUUGCUUUAUUUUUCAUACUUCACCCUCUUUUUGCCGUCAAAUGACCCUUUUAACCUUGAAAAAAUGCAACAUGUAGCACAUAGGAUGCAUGAGGAUGGUUUAUUAUUUCAGGUACACCUAUCCUAGAUGGACCCAACCCCUGUGUUGAGUCCCCUAAGUCAAAUCACAUGAUGCAAACAAGCGCCCCUACUAGGGAUCCGGCAUGAGGUUUUGUUCUUCUAGGUUUAAAUCCUAGGGUUUUGGUCUAGACUUGGUGUACUCGAGCGGACAAUUGGGGCCGAAGAGGGGCAACGUACCGGGAGCACUGAAGUCUGCCCGGCCUUAUCACUUGCCCAGCCUCGUUCUAUUUGGUAUAAUUUUUGUAUAAAAAGCAUGUCACACGAACGUGUGCACCAUUUUCAGAUGACUCGGAUGGGUGGCGUAAGAAGAUAGUUAUAUACAAUUCAAACAAUAUUAAAACGAUAAACAAACAGCAAUUAGAAAAGAGGUUCACAAAAUAUAGUAAUAUGAACAGUAAAUAAAGCCAAGUAAAAACCAUAAAACAAGCUCGAGCUCUUGAACCCUAGACUAGAGAUUCUGAGUUUGAUCCCCAUCAGAGUCGCCAGAGCUGUCACACAUCCUUUUUUACACUACACACCGCGAUGGGAUGUAGAUAAGGGAGUUUUUUCCAACUUAAAGUUACAAUUGAAACGGGAUUAUUUAUUUAUUAAAUUCAGAGUCGCCACUUGGGAUAAUUCAUGGUUUCCCAAGUCACCCAUUUUAAAUACCGAAUCGAGGAAAAAAUUAACUCUAUUUAUGUCUGCGAACUAGAAAUCCAGGUAAGGAAUUCUGUUAACUCGGGAGAAGAUGUUAGGCAUUCCUGGGUUCCGUGGUUCUAGCACGGUCGCUCAGCAAUUUAUACUUGCCUUAAUUGUUUAACUACUCAUUUUUAAGACGUAUGUGAAAUUAUCUUUUUACCGCUUUUAAGUCACUUGAAUUAUUUCUAAUUAAAGAAUUGAGUUACGCAUAUGUAUACACUUUUAUUUUGGCGCAUCAAAAAUUAUGUCACGCGAACGUGUCCACCAUUAAUAGCACUUUGUUUAUUUUAUUAAGAAAAGUUUAGUUGAAGUUGCGCGAACGCAUAUUCCCGCUUUGUUUUUAGAGAUCGCGAUCAUAUCACACGAACAUGUACACAAUCAUGAUAGUAGAUUAAUUGAGAGCACCUAUAACAUACCAUAAUAUGAUGGCCACCUUUAUUUACAAAACUCCAGUUUAUUCACCAAAUAAUAACAAUACAGGUACACAAUACUAUUUUUUCAUGCAAAAGAAAUCAAAUAAAUCUUAAAUCAAGAAACUAUGACCUUUCAAAUGCUAAUAACGCAUUACUCAAUUCACUGUGUGACCUUCCUAUAACUCAUUUUUUAUUUUUUUUAUUUCUUAUCCAUAUCUUACCUAACCAGAUCACAUUCAAACUCACCUGUUACUUUUUCAGAUUUCUCCUCACGUCUGAUCCCAAGUAACUGUCUUGACUUUAUUUUUCCUUCAUCCUCACGUUCAGUCACAUAUAAAUAGCAUGCACAUAUUGAACUAACAAGUAUAUCUUUAACUCUUAGAGGCAAAUCUUGACGAGAAAAGCACAUUCUCCAAAUAAUAAUGAAAGCGCUAAAACAUAUCCUACAAAUUAGUAUAUACUAUUAUAAGGGAGAAAGCACGGGAGUAGGUCGUAGAGGAUACAUCCCAACCAUAAAUGUAACAGGUCUUGCCCCGAAGAAAAUUGAUGCACAUCUUGACAGAGAAAUUCGAACUUAGUUAUAUUCAAUUAUCCUAAGAACUCAACAUGUGUACCAAGCCGAUUUAUGGAACACACAAUAGAUCAAAAUUUGAUUAAAACUUCCACCUUAGUGAUAACCAAUAGACACACAACGUGUGUACUGAGCCGAUUUAAAAAACACGCAAUAGAUCAAAAUUUGAUUAGAACUUCCACCUUAGUGAUAAACUAAUAGACAUGAUACUUAUUUUCAAGAAAAUUUAAACAUUCAACACGCGAGCUGGUCCAUUUCUUUCAUUCGAACACAUGAAAACUUAGGCGAGAUCACAAACUAUAUGCUCAAAAUUUGGAAACCGGGAACCAACUUAGUUCGACAUGGAACAUGGUGAAAUAUUCGUUGCUUCAAUAGUUAGUUCGACAUGGAACAUGGUGAAAUAUUCGUUUCUUAAACUAUUGAAGACAUUCAAAACACUAUUCCUAUUUUAGGAUUAGGACAGAUUACCCGAUCAUAAUUUAAAGAUCAAACGACAUGUGCUUUAAAAAAAUCAUACUGAUCAUUAAACCAACUUAUCUCAUGUGCUACCUCCUGGGAAUAGAUGAAAACAUUCGACAAAGUGACUCUUAUAAUGCAGAACUAAAAUGAAUUCGAAUAUGGAACAAGGAUGCAAAUUAGUGCGUGUCACAAAAACUAAUAGGAACAAAUUGAUCGCAAUAUCAAUAAGCCAAAGAUGAAAGGAUCUAAUACGAAAACUUAACUAUAACCUAAACACAUCAUUUUUUCGAUUUCUCACAUUCAAACACAUCAAACAACAAGAUAGCACAUUGGAUAACAAUAGCAAUUCGACGAAUAUCUCUUUCAGGCACAAAUCGCAACUAGAAGCUAACUUCAACACAACCUCUACUAAAGUUUGAUCAAAUACAUCAUUAUAGAGGUGAAUUUCCUAUGGCUCUUAUCAUAUUAUGGUCAAUGUCCAAGCAGAAGAGAGUGUAAGAGGAAGAACUUGAUUUGUGCAAGGAAAAUUUGAUUAAUUCUGCUUAGAAUGAUAUGGGUACAGAGCCUGCGAUUACAGAAAUUAAUCCAAUAAAUUAGCAGCAAAUUCAAUCAGGAAUCACAAACUCAAACACUCGAACGGCAAAUCUCGGGAAGCGACAACUUCAACAAUCUCAGCUCGAUCCCGUUUACAAACCAAAAUCGGAAGAUGACACUGAAACUCAACUCUUCAUUCACUCAAUUUUCCUCUCCAGUUUUCUGAAACUCUAAAGCAGAAGGAGCAGCGAUGGAAAGGGGAUUCUAAGGUUAGAGAUUUUGGUGAAUGGUUGCGACUGUUUUGGUUUUAAGAUGGUCGUUUGCGUACGUGUGGUUGGCGACUAAUUGAGGGGAUGACUGAGGGUGGCUGGUGUUGUGAGGUGGUCGUUGUUUUUGAGAGGGCUCAACGGCUCAUCUCCAACCUUAGGCGUUAG